rnacentral:lncRNA from 1 species
UCUAUUCAUAGAAAAGGAUUACAAGCAAUCGGGGACCAAGCCUUAUAAAAAUGUACAACAAUACGACACAAACUGCGAAAAAAUAUAUUAAGUUUGAAACAAACCAUACAAACAUAUUAAGACAAUAGCCAAAUGGCUUGAAACUCAAUUUCGAGAAAUGAGCAAACUCUGCUUAAAUCAAGUCGUUAUUGCCUAUCAAGAAGAAGUAAGGACGAAAACCCUCGCCAAUAUGUUGGAGUUCAACCAUCAUGGCAGAGAAGCCACCAUGAUGCGUAGAGCCUUGUUAUAUCAUCGCCUUUAUUGCAAUGGACAUGCCUCAGGCUAACUUCAAAAAAUAGAUGCAAAGAACUUGAGCAAAUUAGUCAAUCUUGAUAUGCCCAAAAACUCCCAAUCGAGAACCAAAUCCUUCACACAACGCUAUCAUCAAAAUAAUUAUUGAGACAAUGUUUGCAUCAAUGAAGUCAACCCACCAUGACAGUGGGUGGGAGGGAGAGCCAAAGGGGUCGCUAAUAGUUAACGCAUUAUUUUCCUGAAAAAAAGACACUCACUUCUAUCUCGUUGGCGACCAAAGGUUG